AUUUAACGCUUGCGGCAGGCCUAACACAUGUAAGUCGAGCGAGCGGCGGACGGGAGAGUAAUGUAUGGGGACUGCCCGAUAGAGGGGGGCAACUACUGGAAACGGUGGCUAAUACCGCAUACUAUCGGAUAACCCAUAUGGGAUUAGCUAGUUGGUGGGGUAAAGGCUCACCUAGGCGACGAUGUCUAGCUGGUCUGAGAGGAUGAUGGACCACAUUGGGACGGGGACACGGCCCAGAGUCCUGCGGAGGCAGCAGUGGGGAAUUUUGGACAAGGGGCGCAAGCCGGAUGGAGCCAGGCCGCGUGUAUGAAGAAGGCCUUAGGGUUGUAAAGUACGUUCAGCGGGGAGGCGUUACCGGCAGACGAAGCAACGGCUAACUCCGUGCCAGCAGCCGCGGUAAUAC
rnacentral:rRNA from 1 species